CGCGUAGGUGGUAGUGCAAGUCUGGGGGUGGAAUCUUAGGGCUUAACCCUAAAACUGCCUUGGAAACUGCAUUACUUGAGUCAGUGAGGGGAGGGUAGAAUUCCUGGUGUAGCCGUGAAAUGCGUAGAUAUCAGGAGGAAGGCCUGUGGCGAAGGCGGCCCUCUGGCGCUGAACUGACACUGAGGCGCGAAAGCGUGGGUAGCAAACAGGAUUAGAUACCCUGGUAGUCCACGCCCUAAACGGUGGGUACUAGGUGUAGGGCUCGUAAGGGUUCUGUGCCGAAGGGAAACCAUUAAGUACCCCGCCUGGGGAGUACGGCCGCAAGGUUGAA
rnacentral:rRNA from 1 species